GAUGAACGCUGGCGGCGUGCCUAAUACAUGCAAGUCGAGCGAACAGACGAGGAGCUUGCUCCUCUGACGUUAGCGGCUGACGGGUGAGUAACACUUGGAUAACCUACCUAUAAGACUGGGAUAACUUCGGGAAACCGGAGCUAAUACCGGAUAAUAUAUUGAACCGCAUGGUUCAAUAGUGAAAGACGGUUUUGCUGUCACUUAUAGAUGGAUCCGCGCCGCAUUAGCUAGUUGGUAAGGUAACGGCUUACCAAGGCAACGAUGCGUAACCGACCUGGGAGGGUGGUCGGGCCAACGUGGACCUAGGCACCGUCCCAAAUGCAACGAGAAGCAAGCAGCAGGGAACUUCCGGAAAGGGCCGAAUGCUGGCGGGAGCAUAGCAGCUUGAGUGAGGAAGUCUUGGGGAUGGUAAACCCCUGUAAUAGGGAAGAACAAAUGUGUAAGUAACUAUGCACGUCUUGACGGUACCUAAUCAGAAAGCCACGGCUAACUACGUG
rnacentral:rRNA from 1 species